UUGGUAUUAUUUCUAGCAAAUUACAAAGUGGGUGUUACAAAUCCUACCCCCCUUAAUAGAAAUCUCGUCCUCGAGAUUUGUAAGAAAAGGGAUACGAUAAGUUUGUAAUUCAACUUUUAGUCUUUAAUUGUUUCAAAAGUCCAUAGUCUCAUUUGUUUUAUAUACUCAAUAGUGGGUGAUGAGGAGGGCAUAGGUAUCCAGCUACUUAUUAGGUAGGAUAUAAGAGAUGUAUAGUUUAGGGCAAGAAUAGCCAGGGGUAAGAAAGUUUAUGGUAAGGAAGAACUUCGUGUUGGAUGGUAAUGCAUCCGAAGAUUGAAAUUGACUUCUCUCCUUCCUUGACGCGGUUGAUCUUGUCCUUUUCUGGUCUUGGUCUCAUUGAGUGUAUAUCAUCGUAGUUGUGGAAUAUGGUUAAGAUAGAUAUGGAUGAGAUAGAAUAUAUGAUGUAGGUCAAAAGUUUGUUUGAAGUUAGGUGGGGAUAGAAAGGUUAUGCAAUCCAUCAUGACUCUAUUGGUUGGGUUAGCUCUUAUGCUCAUGGUUGAGUUGGUCUAAUAUGUGAAGUUAGGUUAAUACCUGGAUAGUAGGGUCUAAUCUCUUCUAUCAGUAUUAUUAAUUUGUUUAAGUAGACCACAUUAGAUUAGAUCGUACUAGAUUAGAUAGGAUCUAGAUUAGAUCGGAUAUGAGUAGAUAGUAUUAAUUACUUUGGAUUAGAUCAUGGUCGUUACACUAGUGUGGAAUAAUUAUGCUUACUAGGGCAAGAUGAAUCCAUAAGGAUAGGGUAGAAUCCUUUGAGGUCAGUUAGAUCUACUAAGGCGACAUAAGAUCUUUUCAAGAUAAGAUGAGUAUCUUUUUUUUGAUAAGAUGGAUCUAUGAGUGUAGGAUAGAAUCUUUCAAAAUGAGAUGGAUAUUGUUAGGCUAGAUACUUUAAUGAGGGAUAAUUUAGUUUAUCUAGUUAAUUUUAUAAGCAUUUUUUUCUAUAUGUAUAUGCAGAUGUAAUUGUGGACAUUACUCCACAACUCAUCACACUCAAUCAAAGAUCCAAAUCAUACAAGUAUCAUAAGAACAAACAUUCAAAUUCAUAGAUAUCUAUAAAAAUAUUUUUGUUUUUGUUCCUAAGAUUAGGUCUCCUAUUCCUAAAAGUCACUUUUAGGCACAGGAUUUCAAAGUGUGAAAUCCACAUUUGUCUUUAGAAAAGAAAAGGUAAGAAUAAUCAGAGUAAGCGGAAAUAGAUGAGAAAGAUUAAGAGAAGUUUAGAAAAGAAUCAGAGUAGAAGAGGUAAGUAAGUAUUGGUUGUCCAGUUCUAUCUAGGUUUCGUCCUACAGUCAACAUUCCUCUGAUACCACUUCUGUCACACCCGGGUUUUAGGGAUCCAAAGCCCGGGCGCGAACAUAAACACCAGGUGUGCUGGGACCAAGUCUCACACAUAUGAUGCAUAGUGGCACAGGAUCGAAUGUCACAUCUUUACUAUAUAACAGGAGUUCUAUACAAAAUAAUUAAAUAAUUACAUCAUAUGAGGAAACGAUCCAGCAACCCAAAGUUGACUGGGAGACGACGGCCUAGACCACUCACGAACUCAUCACAGUAUCCUCCACGCGCCUCCUCCUGUGGUACCUGCUCUUGACCUGUGGGGGGUGUGAGACAGCAAGAGUGAGCUCACAUACGUUCAUCGCUCAACAAGUUGUGGGGAAUAAUGUGCAUGAACUCGCCCAAGGUGGGAGCUCACGUGAAGUGUAAGGCUUACCAAAGAGGAUGGUUAGAGCUGAGCAUUGCUUUUAAAGUUGGUCAAAAUUUUAUUAGCAAUUACUAAGUAUAAGUAAAUACCGACCCAAUUAAAUAGUAGAACAGAAGUAACAACCUCACCUGCGAUGCAAUGCAUAUGACAAAUUGAGUUUAAGUUCCAUAGAUUAAUCAUGUGAGUGUCCGAGCCGCUCAUGACCGUGAGCACGGCUAGUAUACCAGUUUUACACUCUGCAGAGGUUGCGCAUCUUUACCCACAAGUCAUGUUACCCAUCUGCCAAGGGAUCGCGACUUCCCAUACACCUCUACCGAGGAGGCGAGGCAGGUAACACUACGAGGCCUUUACAAAGUUCCACUAGCUUCAGAAAACCCGCUACAGUUUAUAGGAAGCUCCAAUGCAGGAAUCCCUUGCAGGACCGCCAUCGCAGCAAAAUCCUCCCGAGGGCCUCCCUACACUGACCACUCCCCUACUGCCCUUGCCCCUUUCGGGUAAGGUAGUCUUCCACUAGCUUUCCUAAUUAAUCGGCCAAGGGCGUCCCAUUAAACCCUUGUGGUAGCACUGUUUUCCCGGGUGGUUCUCCAUGUUCCAAUUAACAUAAUGAUCUUAUCAUGAACAGUGAUAAUAAACAGAUAAUAAAAGUGUGAUCAUGAAUAAUGUAUCUUCAUACCCAAAACCACAUAAAGCACUAGCAAGUACUACCCAAAAAGUUCAGUGGUAAACAAGGUAUAAAGAUAGACAAACUAGGGUAACCUAUUGGGUCCCAUCAAAAUUAACCUAUGCAGAUCAUUAUGAUUAAUCAGAACAUGAGUAGGUAAAAAGAAGUGAUCAAGGGCACAACUUGCCUGGGAUUUGAGAUUUCAGGUACCAAGAUGAUCUUCAGGUGACACGUGUCCUCACGCUAGUCGUAGCAAUAUAGACAAACAUGAUAUAGACAAGAUUAACACCACACCAAACAUAAGAACAAACUGAAUAAUAAUGACCUACGCGUUUCUACGAGACUAACGCAACUUGAACGGAUCAAAUCGGAGUUAAAACGAAGGAGAUACGAAUUUCCUAAGGUUUUUAUGUAUUUGAUACAAGAUUAAUUAAGAAAUAAAUUUUAAUACCAUUUUCAUGUCAAAACAAAGAUACAGGGUAAUAAACAACAUUAUUAUAGGAUUAUAGGAAUUGAAAUGGAUUAAUUUGGACUUCAAAUGAAUUUUCUAAGAAUUAAAUAAGUUUCUGCAAUUAAUUUUGUAUUGAAAAUCAUUUCUAAAAUGAAUUCAUCUGUCUCUGGUCCACGCACACUAAUAAACGAAAAUCCAGGGGCCUCAGCGCAAGUGCCACCAAGAAACAGAACCCAACUACGUGGACCGCGGGUUGUUUUUAGGUAAACCGAGGGGUUCUUGUGCAAAAUGAACUGGCGAAAGGGGUACGGGGUGAUAUAGGCCGCAGGAUCAUGGAUGAANNNNNNNNNNNNNNNNNNNNNNNNNNNNNNNNNNNNNNNNNNNNNNNNNNNNNNNNNNNNNNNNNNNNNNNNNNNNNNNNNNNNNNNNNNNNNNNNNNNNCUCGGACCCGUCGCCAGGGGACCGGGUCCGACAGAUCACCCGAAGGUACUUUUGGGCGUGCCUCUGGGCCCCUAGCCGACCCCAACGAACGGGGCACGGACGUCCACUCGGAUUACCCGCUUGCAGCUCACCGGAGACACCAUGUUCGGUGCCCAUCGAGGGUAACAUGGCGCUCUCCCCCCCUCCUCCUUGCGGAAAGGCGACGUAGGGGCGUAUGUAAAAAAGCCGAGUCUGUCCCUGAUCGCCCUCUCGCCCUGUGCGGAGGCUCGGGGGUUGCUCUCGCAAACCCGGCUCCGGCCGAACCGUUGACAGCGUCAACAUACCAGCCCGAGAACUUGGGCCCCGACCGUGCACCUGGGCUACGACCAGUUCGCAUGAGGGAACAACCAGACCAGCCGAAGCAUUACGCAAGGCAUUAAGACCUCGAAGGAGUGAAACCACUCCUCCGAGGCCUCGGGGGCUACACCCGGCGGGUGCGCUCGCGUGCACCCACCGGAACAAAAUGCAACCGAGAAAGGCUGGUCCCUUGCAAAAAAGUGCGACGAAAGCCUCCAAGCGAGUGCUAACACUCCCUUCGAGGCUCGGGGGCUACUGUCGGGGACCAUAAUUAGGGGUACCCUCAAGACGCCUAAUUCUCAGCUGGUAACUGAUAGUCGCCUAGAGGGGGGUGAAUAGGGCAAAACUGAAAUUUACAAAUAUAAACACAACUACAAGCUGGGUUACCGUUAGAAAUAAAAACGAGUCCGCGAGAGAGGGUGAAAACAAAUCGCAAGCGAAUAAUGAAGUGAGACACGUGGAUUUGUUUUACCGAGGUUCGGUUCUCUCAAACCUACUCCCCGUUGAGGAGGCCACAAAGGCCGGGUCUCUUUCAACCCUUCCCUCUCUCAAACGGUCCCUCGGACCGAGUGAGCUUCUCUUCUCAAAUCGAAACCGAGAACAAAACUUCCCCGCAAGGGCCACCACACAAUUGGUGCCUCUUGCCUUGAUUACAAUGAAGUUUUGAUCACAAGAACAAGUGAGAAAGAAAAGAAGCAAUCUGUCACACCCGGGUUUUAGGGAUCCAAAGCCCGGGCGCGAACAUAAACACCAGGUGUGCUGGGACCAAGUCUCACACAUAUGAUGCAUAGUGGCACAGGAUCGAAUGUCACAUCUUUACUAUAUAACAGGAGUUCUAUACAAAAUAAUUAAAUAAUUACAUCAUAUGAGGAAACGAUCCAGCAACCCAAAGUUGACUGGGAGACGACGGCCUAGACCACUCACGAACUCAUCACAGUAUCCUCCACGCGCCUCCUCCUGUGGUACCUGCUCUUGACCUGUGGGGGGGUGUGAGACAGCAAGAGUGAGCUCACAUACGUUCAUCGCUCAACAAGUUGUGGGGAAUAAUGUGCAUGAACUCGCCCAAGGUGGGAGCUCACGUGAAGUGUAAGGCUUACCAAAGAGGAUGGUUAGAGCUGAGCAUUGCUUUUAAAGUUGGUCAAAAUUUUAUUAGCAAUUACUAAGUAUAAGUAAAUACCGACCCAAUUAAAUAGUAGAACAGAAGUAACAACCUCACCUGCGAUGCAAUGCAUAUGACAAAUUGAGUUUAAGUUCCAUAGAUUAAUCAUGUGAGUGUCCGAGCCGCUCAUGACCGUGAGCACGGCUAGUAUACCAGUUUUACACUCUGCAGAGGUUGCGCAUCUUUACCCACAAGUCAUGUUACCCAUCUGCCAAGGGAUCGCGACUUCCCAUACACCUCUACCGAGGAGGCGAGGCAGGGUAACACUACGAGGCCUUUACAAAGUUCCACUAGCUUCAGAAAACCCGCUACAGUUUAUAGGAAGCUCCAAUGCAGGAAUCCCUUGCAGGACCGCCAUCGCAGCAAAUCCUCCCGAGGGCCUCCCUACACUGACCACUCCCCUACUGCCCUUGCCCCUUUCGGGUAAGGUAGUCUUCCACUAGCUUUCCUAAUUAAUCGGCCAAGGGCGUCCCAUUAAACCCUUGUGGUAGCACUGUUUUCCCGGGUGGUUCUCCAUGUUCCAAUUAACAUAAUGAUCUUAUCAUGAACAGUGAUAAUAAACAGAUAAUAAAAGUGUGAUCAUGAAUAAUGUAUCUUCAUACCCAAAACCACAUAAAGCACUAGCAAGUACUACCCAAAAAGUUCAGUGGUAAACAAGGUAUAAAGAUAGACAAACUAGGGUAACCUAUUGGGUCCCAUCAAAAUUAACCUAUGCAGAUCAUUAUGAUUAAUCAGAACAUGAGUAGGUAAAAAGAAGUGAUCAAGGGCACAACUUGCCUGGGAUUUGAGAUUUCAGGUACCAAGAUGAUCUUCAGGUGACACGUGUCCUCACGCUAGUCGUAGCAAUAUAGACAAACAUGAUAUAGACAAGAUUAACACCACACCAAACAUAAGAACAAACUGAAUAAUAAUGACCUACGCGUUUCUACGAGACUAACGCAACUUGAACGGAUCAAAUCGGAGUUAAAACGGAGGAGAUACGAAUUUCCUAAGGUUUUUAUGUAUUUGAUACAAGAUUAAUUAAGAAAUAAAUUUUAAUACCAUUUUCAUGUCAAAACAAAGAUACAGGGUAAUAAACAACAUUAUUAUAGGAUUAUAGGAAUUGAAAUGGAUUAAUUUGGACUUCAAAUGAAUUUUCUAAGAAUUAAAUAAGUUUCUGCAAUUAAUUUUGUAUUGAAAAUCAUUUCUAAAAUGAAUUCAUCUGUCUCUGGUCCACGCACACUAAUAAACGAAAAUCCAGGGGCCUCAGCGCAAGUGCCACCAAGAAACAGAACCCAACUACGUGGACCGCGGGUUGUUUUUAGGUAAACCGAGGGGUUCUUGUGCAAAAUGAACUGGCGAAAGGGGUACGGGGUGAUAUAGGCCGCAGGAUCAUGGAUGAACGAUCCUGAUUAGAUCGGCAUCAACUGCGAACCGGUAUCGUAUCCUGGCCGACGGUUCGCCAUCCAACGAUCCACAUUUUAAAUACCAGAGGUCCCCCGCGAUCCAUCCGAUCGCCAACGAACGGACGCGGACGAAACUCUACCAGAUUUAAUGCCCACCGCAGCAAAAGGAUCUGACGGCUAGCACAAGGCUCUUCCCCGGUUCAUCCCCAAUCACGACGGCAAGCCCACCGCGGCGGAGCGCCAUGACCAGGACCGAGCGAGGAGCUUCUCCCAGUGGUCACCAUCGAAUUGAAACAAAGCUACACGUUGCUGAGACUACGACGAGCAGGUAUAGGGCACACUUACCCGCAGCUAGGAAGUCGAGAUACCCCGACCUCGGGCGGGGCGGAUCUAUGUCGGCACACGAACGAUGGUGAGAAAUUCCUCGACAACCAGCCGGUCUUUGCUCCCAGCGCCGCAUCGAGCACGUCCCUGAGCACCUGGCGAAGCCCAUAGAUCUAUCUUCAUGCUCCGAACGGCCAUAGGUCCUUGAAUCGAUGGCGACGGCGCGUUCGGCAUCCCGUUUUCUCCCUCUCCUCUUGAUUCUUCUCUGCGCACCAUUGUUUGGGGAUGAACGGCCCCAAAUUUAUACCCAGGCGGCGCCCAAGUCCGAGCCGGGGCGAGCAGCGAGGAUCGCGCCCGGGAGCACAUCCAUCCGGUGGAUCCAGUCAACGCGGGCGAGCUCCGCGCCUUCGGUUGCGGAACAGACCAGAGGAUAGGGACGCCCCAGACGCGCGGGGUCCACAGGCAGCGAGUGUGCUUGCGCAAACGACAGGAGUGGCCAGAGGCUGACAAGCAGGACCCGUGUGUAAGUGUCACCGGUAAAAAGGAAAAGGAGGUAGCGUGGGCCGAACAGGGGGAAAGGAUCUGUGGGUGGUGGGCUGGCGCGUGGAGAAAGUGGGCCGGCCAGGAAAAAUGGCCCAAGCGCAGGCUUCCAUUAAUCUUUUACUUUUCCUUUUUCUGAUUUAUAUUUUUCCCAUCUCAUUUGAAUUCAAAUUUCACACUUAAAUCUUUUGGUGAAUUCUUCUUAGAUUGAAAGUAUAAUUUGAACAUAAUGGUCUUACUUUUAUUUAUAUUAUUUGUCUUGCAUAUAUUUUAUUUUAUUUUUUGUACUCCUUUUCCUCCCCCCACAUUUCUUCAGGGUUUUAAAUUCCACUUUGGAUUUAACAUAUUCAUUUUUAUAAUAUUUUUACAUUGUCACAAGUAAUGCACACACAAUAAAAUCGAGCAUGAUGCAUAAUUUGGUAGUAUAUGUAUUUUUUUAUUAAUUGUUUUUGGGCAUGAUGUUCACAUAAGAUGAUGCAUAAAGAUCAAACUCACAUGAAGAGAAAUUGUUUCCCUAUUGGUAUUAUUUCUAGCAAAUUACAAAGUGGGUGUUACAAAUCCUACCCCCCUUAAUAGAAAUCUCGUCCUCGAGAUUUGUAAGAAAAGGGAUACGAUAAGUUUGUAAUUCAACUUUUAGUCUUUAAUUGUUUCAAAAGUCCAUAGUCUCAUUUGUUUUAUAUACUCAAUAGUGGGUGAUGAGGAGGGCAUAGGUAUCCAGCUACUUAUUAGGUAGGAUAUAAGAGAUGUAUAGUUUAGGGCAAGAAUAGCCAGGGGUAAGAAAGUUUAUGGUAAGGAAGAACUUCGUGUUGGAUGGUAAUGCAUCCGAAGAUUGAAAUUGACUUCUCUCCUUCCUUGACGCGGUUGAUCUUGUCCUUUUCUGGUCUUGGUCUCAUUGAGUGUAUAUCAUCGUAGUUGUGGAAUAUGGUUAAGAUAGAUAUGGAUGAGAUAGAAUAUAUGAUGUAGGUCAAAAGUUUGUUUGAAGUUAGGUGGGGAUAGAAAGGUUAUGCAAUCCAUCAUGACUCUAUUGGUUGGGUUAGCUCUUAUGCUCAUGGUUGAGUUGGUCUAAUAUGUGAAGUUAGGUUAAUACCUGGAUAGUAGGGUCUAAUCUCUUCUAUCAGUAUUAUUAAUUUGUUUAAGUAGACCACAUUAGAUUAGAUCGUACUAGAUUAGAUAGGAUCUAGAUUAGAUCGGAUAUGAGUAGAUAGUAUUAAUUACUUUGGAUUAGAUCAUGGUCGUUACACUAGUGUGGAAUAAUUAUGCUUACUAGGGCAAGAUGAAUCCAUAAGGAUAGGGUAGAAUCCUUUGAGGUCAGUUAGAUCUACUAAGGCGACAUAAGAUCUUUUCAAGAUAAGAUGAGUAUCUUUUUUUUGAUAAGAUGGAUCUAUGAGUGUAGGAUAGAAUCUUUCAAAAUGAGAUGGAUAUUGUUAGGCUAGAUACUUUAAUGAGGGAUAAUUUAGUUUAUCUAGUUAAUUU
rnacentral:lncRNA from 1 species